rnacentral:lncRNA from 1 species
CCAAAUCUCCGUCUAAAUACAUCUUCUAUUAGAACUUCGUUACCUUUUCCAUCCUAAUUGUCAUACCUGUCACGUACAAUGUAAUUCCAUAAUUACCCUUCUUUCAACACCCCAAAGAAUUUUGCAAUUUGGUCAUUUCACUUGCUCAAUAAUGCAUGUGCGCUGGCUUAUCAUACAUGUGCAUUCAAGAAUUAGAAUGCAAACAACGUUCAAACAGCAACUUGAAAACAUUUCCACGUCAUGGCUCUGGCCAACCGUGGCACCGGACCUGAGGUCCCUCUCCUCCCGGACAUCGUUGCCGGGAAACGUGCUUCGAUUCCCGGCGCAGUUUUUAANNNNN